UGUAAACAUCUGCGAAUCGCAACUUGUCAAUCAGCUGUGCGUACACUCGGUGUUUGCAUAACAUCGGCAUAAGUCGUACAUACAUUGAAAGUGCACCUGUUAGACCUGUUGAUUCGCGAUGGUUGAUUACAACGUGGUCGGUGACACUACACCCUUUCAUGACGGGACUCUCCGGAUUACUUCAUCCCCUAUUGCUAUUUGAAAUUCAUUCAUGAUCUAGAAAUAGAAACUAGUUACCAAGGAAAACGUGGUAUCUGUAGCAGGUUUUGUGACAAUUUUUCGUUUACUUUCAUAAGCAGUUCCUCAGCAGUAAGCGCGCUGGCAGCUAUUAUUUCCAUGGCUUCAUAGCACUGCGUGUAAUUAGACCGGCUAUCUGUAUCUCAAGUCAAACACGCACAUCCGAUGGAGUGAAAAAGUCGCUCGUUUAGGAGAUGCCGACUGGGCAAGAUACCCACGGUACUCGCUUACUCCACCCGCUCAAAUGUCCAGCUGCUUCAUCAUCCAGUGGAAAAAUCCAAGAAUGGUGAAGCUGAAGCUGAGUGGUAUUGCCGUUGCUCUGAUCCAACUCCAAAUGCUAUAAAACAGAUAAUAUAACGAAGAGAUAUUGACAACAUCUUUGUAACAUGUAAAACAAUAAUAUACUAGAAAAAGGAUCUAAAAGCAUAACCUUAGGUGUUCUACGAAUGGCAAAUAAUUUAUUGUGAGGUGUUACACAUCGACAUCGAGUACAAUACUUUUCGUAGCACAAUUGUAUGAAUACAAAAUUUUUCAAAAAUGCAAUCUAUUCGUUAUUGU